AAUCCAUAGGUUAAUGAGGCGAACCGGGGGAACUGAAACAUCUAAGUACCCCGAGGAAAAGAAAUCAACCGAGAUUCCCCCAGUAGCGGCGAGCGAACGGGGAGGAGCCCAGAGCCUGAAUCAGCAUGUGUGUUAGUGGAAGCGUCUGGAAAGGCGCGCGAUACAGGGUGACAGCCCCGUACACAAAAGCGCAUGUGCUGUGAGCUCGAUGAGUAGGGCGGGACACGUGGUAUCCUGUCUGAAUAUGGGGGGACCAUCCUCCAAGGCUAAAUACUCCUGACUGACCGAUAGUGAACCAGUACCGUGAGGGAAAGGCGAAAAGAACCCCGGCGAGGGGAGUGAAAAAGAACCUGAAACCGUGUACGUACAAGCAGUGGGAGCACAGGUUUACCUGUGUGACUGCGUACCUUUUGUAUAAUGGGUCAGCGACUUAUAUUCUGUAGCAAGGUUAACCGUAUAGGGGAGCCGGAGGGAAACCGAGUCUUAAUUGGGCGUUAAGUUGCAGGGUAUAGACCCGAAACCCGGUGAUCUAGCCAUGGGCAGGUUGAAGGUUGGGUAACACUAACUGGAGGACCGAACCGACUAAUGUUGAAAAAUUAGCGGAUGACCUGUGGCUGGGGGUGAAAGGCCAAUCAAACCGGGAGAUAGCUGGUUCUCCCCGAAAGCUAUUUAGGUAGCGCCUCGUGAAUUCAUCUCCGGGGGUAGAGCACUGUUUCGGCUAGGGGGCCAUCCCGGCUUACCAACCCGAUGCAAACUGCGAAUACCGGAGAAUGUUAUCACGGGAGACACACGGCGGGUGCUAACGUCCGUCGUGAAGAGGGAAACAACCCAGACCGCCAGCUAAGGUCCCAAAGUCAUGGUUAAGUGGGAAACGAUGUGGGAAGGCCCAGACAGCCAGGAUGUUGGCUUAGAAGCAGCCAUCAUUUAAAGAAAGCGUAAUAGCUCACUGGUCGAGUCGGCCUGCGCGGAAGAUGUAACGGGGCUAAACCAUGCACCGAAGCUGCGGCAGCGACGCUUAUGCGUUGUUGGGUAGGGGAGCGUUCUGUAAGCCUGCGAAGGUGGCCUGUGAGGGUUGCUGGAGGUAUCAGAAGUGCGAAUGCUGACAUAAGUAACGAUAAAGCGGGUGAAAAGCCCGCUCGCCGGAAGACCAAGGGUUCCUGUCCAACGUUAAUCGGGGCAGGGUGAGUCGACCCCUAAGGCGAGGCCGAAAGGCGUAGUCGAUGGGAAACGGGUUAAUAUUCCCGUACUUGGUGUUACUGCGAAGGGGGGACGGAGAAGGCUAUGUUGGCCGGGCGACGGUU
rnacentral:rRNA from 1 species